rnacentral:rRNA from 1 species
GUGGGGAAUAUUGGACAAUGGGCGCAAGCCUGAUCCAGCCAUGCCGCGUGAGUGAUGAAGGCCUUAGGGUUGUAAAGCUCUUUCAGUAGGGAAGAUAAUGACGGUACCUACAGAAGAAGCCCCGGCUAACUUCGUGCCAGCAGCCGCGGUAAUACGAAGGGGGCUAGCGUUGUUCGGAUUUACUGGGCGUAAAGCGCACGUAGGCGGAUUGGUCAGUUAGAGGUGAAAUCCCGAAGCUCAACUUCGGAACUGCCUUUAAUACUGCCAGUCUCGAGUCCGGAAGAGGUGAGUGGAACUCCUAGUGUAGAGGUGGAAUUCGUAGAUAUUAGGAAGAACACCAGUGGCGAAGGCGGCUCACUGGUCCGGUACUGACGCUGAGGUGCGAAAGCGUGGGGAGCAAACAGGAUUAGAUACCCUUGUAGUCC